rnacentral:ncRNA from 1 species
CGCCGCUCUCCACCUACGAGCGGCGCGCGGGCCGAAGAAAGGAGUUUGUUUUCCCGCAGGAUCCGCGGUGCGGCAGUGUGGAGACCUGCCGUAUGUCCUCCGUACAUUCAUCGGCGGAGGUAAGGUCUGAGCAGCGGAGGCUCUCAGAUCAGGAUCGGUACGCAUGGCA